GCGGUACCGGUUCACGCCCCGCCGGAUCCUCCGGCGCGGCGACCCGGCGACC
rnacentral:ncRNA from 1 species